rnacentral:rRNA from 1 species
GACGAACGCUGGCGGCGUGCCUAAUACAUGCAAGUAGAACGCUGAGGAGAGGAGCUUGCUCUUCUUGGAUGAGUUGCGAACGGGUGAGUAACGCGUAGGUAACCUGCCUUGUAGCGGGGGAUAACUAUCGGAAACGAUAGCUAAUACCGCAUAAAAGUCGACAUCGCAUGAUGUUGACUUGAAAGGUGCAAUUACAUCACUAAGAGAUGGACCUGCGUUGUAUUAGCUAGUUGGUGAGGUAACGGCUCACCAAGGCGACGAUACAUAGCCGACCUGAGAGGGUGAUCGGCCACACUGGGACUGAGACACGGCCCAGACUCCUACGGGAGGCAGCAGUAGGGAAUCUUCGGCAAUGGGGGCAACCCUGACCGAGCAACGCCGCGUGAGUGAAGAAGGUUUUCGGAUCGUAAAGCUCUGUUGUAAGAGAAGAACGAGUGUGAGAGUGGAAAGUUCACACUGUGACGGUAACUUACCAGAAAGGGACGGCUAACUACGUGCCAGCAGCCGCGGUAAUACGUAGGUCCCGAGCGUUAUCCGGAUUUAUUGGGCGUAAAGCGAGCGCAGGCGGUUAGAUAAGUCUGAAGUUAAAGGCUGUGGCUUAACCAUAGUACGCUUUGGAAACUGUUUAACUUGAGUGCAGAAGGGGAGAGUGGAAUUCCAUGUGUAGCGGUGAAAUGCGUAGAUAUAUGGAGGAACACCGGUGGCGAAAGCGGCUCUCUGGUCUGUAACUGACGCUGAGGCUCGAAAGCGUGGGGAGCAAACAGG